rnacentral:misc_RNA from 1 species
UUUCCGUAGGUGAACCUGCGGAAGGAUCAUUAUUGUAUAACCGAGGUGCGAGGGCUGUCGCUGACCCGAAAGGUCGUGCACGUCCGAGUGCCCUCACACACAUCCAUCUCACCCCUAUGUGCACCACCGCGUGGCUCCCCCUUUGGCUUGUUCGGAGGGGGGCUUACGUUUUCACACAAACUUUGUAUGCAGUGUAGAAUGUAUUUUUUGUUUUUGCGAUCACUCAAUCAAUACAACUUUCAACAACGGAUCUCUUGGCUCUC